UACGUAGGGUGCAAGCGUUGUCCGGAAUUAUUGGGCGUAAAGAGCUCGUAGGCGGUCUGUCGCGUCGGCUGUGAAAACCCGAGGCUCAACCUCGGGCCUGCAGUCGAUACGGGCAAACUAGAGUACUGCAGGGGAGACUGGAAUUCCUGGUGUAGCGGUGAAAUGCGUAGAUAUCUGGAGGAACACCGGUGGCGAAGGCGGCAUCCUGGACCAAUAUUGACGCUGAGGAGCGAAAGCCAGGGGAGCAAACGGG
rnacentral:rRNA from 1 species